rnacentral:misc_RNA from 1 species
GAUGAAGAACGUAGCGAAAUGCGAUAAGUAGUGUGAAUUGCAGAAUUACCUGAAUCAUCGAAUCUUUGAACGCACAUUGCGCCCUUUGGUAUUCCUUAGGGCAUGCCUGUUCGAGCGUCAUUUAAACCUUCAAGCUAAGCUUGGUGUUGGGUGACUGUCCGCCUCACGGCGGACUCGCCUCAAAAUUAUUGGCGGCCGGUACAUUGGCUUCGAGCGCAGCAGAAACGCGAACUCGGGCCCGUCGUAUUGGCUCCCAGAAGCUAUCUUCACAAUUUUGACCUCGGAUCAGGUAGGGAUACCCGCUGAACUUAAGCAUAUCAAUAAGCGGAGGA